AGCGCCAGGGAAAUUACGAGCAAUGCUUAAAACCCAAAGGAUUUGACGGUAUCCCAUCCACCUAGAGGAGCCUGUUCUAUAAUCGAUAACCCCCGCUAUACCCAACCACCCCUAGCCUAUCAGUCUGUAUACCUCCGUCGAAAGCCUACCAUGUGAAUGUGCUCAGUAAGCUUAAUGUCCUCAUCAAAACGUCAGGUCAAGGUGCAGCUCAUGGGAUGGAAAGCAAUGGGCUACAAUUUCUAAUUUAGAACAUACGAAAUACUAGGUGAAACCCUAGUCAUGAAGGCGGAUUUAGCAGUAAAAAGAAAAUAGAGUGUUCUUUUUAACCUGGCCCUGGGAUGUGUACACACCGCCCGUCACCCUCUUCGACAAUUAUUAAUUCUGUUUCAUAACUCCCCUCCCCCCACCUUAGAAGAGGCAAGUCGUAACAUGGUAAGUGUACUGGAAAGUGCACUUGGCUAAUUU
rnacentral:rRNA from 1 species